rnacentral:rRNA from 1 species
GAGAGAUUCAUCGUCAUUCCGCGGCGUACGGGCUGCGCGCUUCGAUGUCGUCGACCUCGGUCGUCAGGCACGACGCGCGUCCGUCGACGUCCGCGGACGGCGUGCACUUCUCUCUUAGUAAAUACAUCGCGACCCGUUCGAUGUCGGUCUAAGCGCCGUUCGGGAGCCCCAUGGACCCUUCACGGGGUCUGUGGGACCGCGACGGUGGCCGACCGGCCGUCGGACGGUAGUUCUGACGAAACGCGCACGCGUUUAUAACGCGUCCGGCCCGACGCAAGUCAACGUCGUAUCCAACGUACCGCCUCAGCGCGGACGUAGGUGCGGCGCGUCUGUUGUUGCCGCCGUGCAGUCUCGGAC